CGAAUGGUUUCGCUGUAUUGUGAUAUUCAUGGCAAUGAAACAAAAAUUCGCUCGUGGCAAUCAUGCAUUCCUGUCUAUCUUACCCUUCUGAACUUUUUGAUGUUGGCUCGAAAUAAUUGGAUAUUCAUCGCAAUUAUUCUAGGUUUGACCUAUACAGGAACGCAAUCGACAGAUUUAUGCAACAUCGAGAAUUCAAUAGUUUGUCAAGAAUUACGUGAUUUGCAAUGCACGAUUGUUAUAUUGAAAUAUUGAUUUGUAAUUGAAGAUAAGACUAAUUUCUCGACAUUACAUGCUUAAACAAAUGAAGAAUGACUUGAAAUCUUGGAACAAGAGAGAACAAGAUGAUCAUUUGUUACUCGAAGAAGAACUUAUAUUCCAUCGAGAAGGACUGAUGAUAUUUUAAGAAAAAAAAAAAAAAAAAAAUUAACAAAUUCGCAUUAAAAAAAACAUGUUACUAAACUAUAGAGAGACUUGAGAUUCAUCUUUUUUAAUUGUCUUUCUUCGAUGAAUCGUUCUGUGUCAAUUAUCAUGUACUACAAUCUACAUGUGAUCUUAACACCUAAUAUGAAAACCAUUAUUGAGGACGCUUGUUACGUGUAAUCAAACUGCGACCUCCACCUCAGCUGCAAUAAUUAAUGUCUUCUAAAUAUUAUUUAUCAUCAUGGACAAAAAACAGAAAAAUGAAAAGU